rnacentral:rRNA from 1 species
GACGAACGCUGGCGGCGUGCUUAACACAUGCAAGUCGAGCGGUAAGGCCCUUUCGGGGGUACACGAGCGGCGAACGGGUGAGUAACACGUGGAUGACCUGCCCUCAGCUCUGGGAUAAGCCUGGGAAAUCGGGUCUAAUACCGGAUAUGACUCCAUGACGCAUGUUGUGGGGUGGAAAGCCUUGUGCGGCUGAGGAUGGGCCCGCGGCCUAUCAGCUUGUUGGUGGGGUGAUGGCCUACCAAGGCGACGACGGGUAGCCGGCCUGAGAGGGCGACCGGCCACACUGGGACUGAGACACGGCCCAGACUCCUACGGGAGGCAGCAGUGGGGAAUCUUGCGCAAUGGGCGAAAGCCUGACGCAGCGACGCCGCGUGAGGGAUGACGGCCUCGG